UUAUAAUCAUGAGCGACAGUUGGCCUC
rnacentral:sRNA from 1 species